AGAAAAUGAAGCUGUUUCCCUUUGUCUUCCCACUCAACUAAAAUUUCAUAGUUGGCUUUGUUUCCAAAAGGAUUUUGGACAAUGUAAUAUAAGCAAAUAAUUUAAAACUUAUUUUGAUUCUAUUUAUACCUCAUAGUAGUUAGAUAUAACUGAUUGUGGACAACUUAAGAUUUCUUUUUCUCACUUUAAAGAUCUUAUGUUUCUACUAGCCUUCCUUAUCUGUGUGAACAUCAUCACAUUUGGGUCAAAAGACAGGUUAUUGCAGAUGUGCUGAGGAAAGUUAGGGCCCUAAACAUACUGGAUGUAUAUUUAUCUAUUCUUCUGUUUAAUUUCACUGAAUUUUUUAAUAAAGGAGAAAUGAAACAAUAUGUGUUAGAAAAAUCCUUCUUCCUCCAGAUUUCCCAACUUUAUUUUGGGGGGAAAAAGUCUGCAUUUCUCUUUAACCAAUACAGAAAAAGGCUAUGUACUUAAGACCUUCACAUUCAUAGAGGACAUCAGAUACGAUUUAAGUCUGGAGGCAUAAGAGAGGUCAAUUCCUUAAGCAUAAAGAUGUUCUUAAAUGUUUGGCCUUUUAUCUGUUUCUCAUUCCAAUGUGUUCGUAAUUCUCACAUUUUACAAACUAAUCUUGUUGUGUAUAUUAUAAAAUAGAAUAGACACCAAUUUUUUUUUUCCUUUGCCAUAAAAGACGUCUUUAUACUGUAUCGUGAUUCCUCUCCAGGUGAGAGGAAACUCUGACAAGGUGCGGCAUUAGGCCUAGCUCCAUGUAUUAGGAACUCACAGACUCAGAAGUCCAAGGUAUAAACAUACCAUGUCUCCCUCACGUGAGCAAGUCAACCUCUCAUUCUGAAUUUAGGUAAACCUGCAAGCAUGAGAAAAAUAGAACUUUCUAUUGCACUUUUUAUAGUCAGGUAGUGUUUUAGCAACUUGAAGUCAGCCAGCACUUAAUUUGAUUGUAUGAGCCAUCAAAGAACCAAUAAUCUUUUAUUUUUCUGCGGAAAAGAAAAUGAAUUAUUCUUUAUUUUACAAAUGUAUAAAGCACAAAUGUGAUAGUUAUUUAGAAUACAAAAUACUAUAAAAUGAAUGUAAAGAAUGGGAAAAUAUAUUUUUGCAUGAAAACAGACUACUUACAAACUUGCUUAAUAUCUCAGGAACAGAAAGAAUGAAUAAUCAUACAUAAAACUGAUAACUAUAUGUUGAGCUAAGUUGCUAUAUCUUCUUGCCUGUUUUUAUUUUAAGGAAGCAUAUACAUGAAAAGAAAAAAAAGAUCCCGGUAGCCUGAAUUUUCUCUCAAGUACGCUGCACAGUCCUGUCUGUGAAUCUACAAUUAAGUACAGUAAGAAUGGGAAUUAGCAUUCAAGUGAGGACAAAGCCCUAAGUGAGAAACUCUCAGUUAGCACACUGGAAUGGUUAUAACCCAGAGGCAAUAGACAAAAACCUGGAAUACAAGCAUUUCUAAACGUAGUCCCAAACUGAAAAGAUUUUUGUGAGGUGACAAACAUUCAUGAGACUGGUUAUUUUAAUUUUCCUUGUUAAGUCAUUGCAAGAAUUGCAUGGGG
ensembl:lncRNA